AACGAACGCUGGCGGCAGGCCUCAAACAUGCAAGUCUAGGGGGUGUAGCAAUACAUCACCGGCGGACGGGUGCGUAACACGUGGGAAUAUACCUUUCGGUACGGAACAACUGCGGGAAACUGCAGCUAAUACCGUAUACGUCCUAGCGGAGAAAGAUUUAUCGCCGAAGGAUUAGCCCGCGUUCGAUUAGCUAGUUGGUGGGGUAAUGGCCCACCAAGGCGACGAUCGAUAGCUGUUCUGAGAGGAAGAUCAGCCACACUGGGACUGAGACACGGCCCAGACUCCUACGGGAGGCAGCAGUUGGGAAUCUUGGACAAUGGGGGAAACCCUGAUCCAGCCAUGCCGCGUGAGUGAUGAAGGCCUU
rnacentral:rRNA from 1 species